UAUGUAGGCGGGCUUUUAAGUCGGGUGUGAAAUCCCACGGCUCAACCGUGGAAUUGCAUUCGAAACUGGAAGUCUUGAGUGUGGGAGAGAUUGGUAGAAUACCUGGUGUAGUGGUGAAAUACGUAGAUAUCAGGUGGAAUACCGGUGGCGAAGGCGGCCAAUUGGCCCAACACUGACGCUGAGAUACGAAAGCGUGGGAUCAAACA
rnacentral:rRNA from 1 species